GGGGAAUAUUGGGCAAUGGGCGCAAGCCUGACCCAGCAACGCCGCGUGAGGGAAGAAGGUUUUCGGAUUGUAAACCUCUGUCGCAGGGGACGAAGGAAGUGACGGUACCCUGUAAGAAAGCCCCGGCUAACUACGUGCCAGCAGCCGCGGUAAUACGUAGGGGGCGAGCGUUGUCCGGAAUUACUGGGCGUAAAGGGAGCGUAGGCGGUCGAUUAAGUUAGAUGUGAAACCCCCGGGCUUAACUUGGGGACUGCAUCUAAGACUGGUUGACUUAGAGUACAGGAGAGGGAAGCGGAAUUCCUAGUGUAGCGGUGAAAUGCGUAGAUAUUAGGAGGAACACCAGUGGCGAAGGCGGCUUUCUGGACUGACACUGACGCUGAGGCUCGAAAGCGUGGGGAGCAAAC
rnacentral:rRNA from 1 species